GUGGGGCAAGGACAGUUUGCAGUAGCUCUAGCCCUAAGACAGACACAUGUGCAGGACACAGCCACGGUAAAGGCUGCAGAACUUGCCAGCCAGUGGGUAGAUGAGGCUGAACCAAUACAUACUGGGUCUGCAUGUGGAAGAAUGAGGCUUGCAGCCAACGGCCGUCCACAUCUCUGAUGAGGAUCAGGUAGGUAAGGACGAGUGGAGGCUGACCAAAGCAGAGCAGCCAAGGACUUGGUCCUAGAAGCCAGGGACAGAGCUUCUGUCAUCUUUAGGAACUCAGAGGACUGAAUGGAGGUGGGGCUGUCAGGCUGGGUGGGUGGUCAACCAUUACAGAAAGUCAGGACAGACAACCGCAUGGUGGCGCUCCUUCAGUUCAAUGGAGGGAGUAAGAAGCCUGGCCAAGGUCCAGGCAGCUGUUGGAGUUACUCCUGCUGAGGCAGACUGGC
rnacentral:lncRNA from 1 species